CAGUAGCCGCGGGAAUACGAAGGUCCCAAGCGUUGUUCGGAAUCACUGGGCGUAAAGGGAGCGUAGGCGGCGUGGUAAGUCAGAUGUGAAAUCCCGGGGCUCAACCCCGGAACUGCAUCCGAUACUGCCAUGCUUGAGGGUUGGAGAGGUAGCUGGAAUUCUCGGUGUAGCAGUGAAAUGCGUGGAUAUCGAGAGGAACACUCGUGGCGAAGGCGAGCUACUGGACAACAACUGACGCUGAGGCUCGAAGGCCAGGGUAGCGAAAGGGAUUAGAUACCCCGGUAGUCCCUGUCUCUUAUAC
rnacentral:rRNA from 1 species